UACAUGGGGUGCAAACGUUGCUCGGAAUCAUUGGGCGUAAAGCGCGCGUAGGCGGUUACACAAGUUGGAUGUGAAAGCCCUCGGCUUAACUGAGGAAGUGCAUCCAAAACUGUGCAGCUAGAGUACUAAAGAGGGUCGCGGAAUUCCCGGUGUAGAGGUGAAAUUCGUAGAUAUCGGGAGGAACACCGGUGGCGAAGGCGGCGACCUGGGUAGAUACUGACGCUCAGGCACGAAAGCGUGGGGAGCAAACAGG
rnacentral:rRNA from 1 species